CCAGAGUCUGGUGAGAGAGACUAGGACCAGGUUAGCGUGUGGAGCGCCCCAGAGCCUGGUGAGAGAGACUAGGACCAGGUUAGCGUGUGGAGCGCCCCAGAGUCUGGUGAGAGAGACUAGGACCAGGUUAGCGUGUGGAGCGCCCCAGAGUCUGGUGAGAGAGACUAGGACCAGGUUAGCGUGUGGAGCGCCCCAGAGUCUGGUGAGAGAGACUAGGACCAGGUUAGCGUGUGGAGCGCCCCAGAGUCUGGUGAGAGAGACUAGGACCAGGUUAGCGUGUGGAGCGCCCCAGAGUCUGGUGAGAGAGACUAGGACCAGGUUAGCGUGUGGAGCGCCCCAGAGUCUGGUGAGAGAGACUAGGACCAGGUUAGCGUGUGGAGCGCCCCAGAGUCUGGUGAGAGAGACUAGGACCAGGUUAGCGUGUGGAGCGCCCCAGAGUCUGGUGAGAGAGACUAGGACCAGGCUCUC